rnacentral:rRNA from 1 species
CCCUUAGACGUUCUGGGCCGCACGCGCGCUACACUGACGAAGGCAACGAGCUUUCCUUUACCGAAAGGUACGGGUAAUCUUUUGAAACUUCGUCGUGCUGGGGAUAGAUCUUUGGAAUUAUUGAUCUUGAACGAGGAAUGCCUAGUAAUCGUAGGUCAUCAGCCUGCGAUGAUUACGUCCCUGCCCUUUGUACACACCGCCCGUCGCUCCUACCGAUUUCGAGUGGUUCGGUGAACCUUUCGGACCGGCAAUGCCUCGUGUUGCGCCGGAAAGUCAAGUAAACCAUAUCACUUAGAGGAAGGAGAAGUCGUAACA